CCCGAGCAACCCCGCGUGAGUGAAGAAGGUUUCGGAUCGUAAAGCUCUGUUGUUAGAGAAGAAUGAUGGUGGGAGUGGAAAAUCCCCAUGUGACGGUAACUAACCAGAAAGGGACGGCUAACUACGUGCCAGCAGCCGCGGUAAUACGUAGGUCUCGAGCGUUGUCCGGAUUUAUUGGNNGUAAAGCGAGCGCAGGCGGUUUGAUAAGUCUGAAGUUAAAGGCCGUGGCUCAACCAUGGUUCGCUUUGGAAACUGUCAAACUUGAGUGCAGAAGGGGAGAGUGGAAUUCCAUGUGUAGCGGUGAAAUGCGUAGAUAUAUGGAGGAACNCCGGUGGCGAAAGCGGCUCUCUGGUCUGUAACUGACGCUGAGGCUCGAAAGCGUGGGGAGCAAACAGGAUUAGAUACCCUGGUAGUCCACGCCGUAAACGAUGAGUGCUAGGUGUUAGNCCCUUUCACGGGGUUUAGUGCCGUA
rnacentral:rRNA from 1 species